rnacentral:lncRNA from 1 species
UGGCUAAGAGUUAUAAAAGGGCCUUCUUCUUUCCCUUAUCCGAGUGGGCCUGUGACAAUUGGGCCUGAGAUGCAUCUGGGCUAACACCCCCCUCAAGCUUGAGGGUGAGAAUACACCAAGCUUACAAAGUAAACCAUGAUGAACUUGACCAGGAAGAGCUUUGGUCAAGAUGUCUGCCAACUGGUUGGAGCUGGAAAUAAAGUGCAAAGAAAUCAGACCAGUCUGCAAGCAAGUGCGCACAUAAUGACAAUCAAUCUCAAUAUGUUUGCUGCGCUCGUGAAAAACUAGGUUUUUGACAAUAUGAAGAGCUGCCUGGUUGUCACAAUAGAUUAGAACUGGGCUGGAAAUGGACAAACCAAGAUCAUGUAGUAGUCGAAGCAACCAGGAAACCUCAGCUGAAGCUUUACAAAGUGCUCUGUAUUCAACUUCAGCUGACGACAAGGAGAUAGUGGGUUGCUUCUUUCUUUUCCAAGAAAUUGGGCUGCCACCGAGAGUAAUAUAAUAGCCAGUGACAGAUUUGCGAGAAAUGGCACAUGCAGCCCAAUCAGAGUCAGAAUAUGCUAUAAGAGACAAAUCAGAUAAACUGGAGAGGAGCACCCCUUGAGCUGGGUCAUUAAGUAAAUACCUGAGAACAUGCAAGGCUACCAACAUGUGGGGUAUUUGAGGCUUUUGCAGAAACUGACUUAAAUGUUGAACUGAGAAAGAGAUAUCAGGCCUAGUAUGUUGCAAGAAAUUAAGCUUCCCAAUCAAUCUCCUAUACAAGCUAGGAUCAGAAACAGGCUCAUCCAUGUCUAACACCAGCUUCACAGAAGGAUCCAAAGGGGUCAUAACAGGAGAGAAAUCUUAACAAUUAAAUUCAGACAAGAGGUCAGAAGUGUACUUGUAUUGGCUCAUCACAUAACCUUGAGGAAGAAGAGAUAUUUCCAACCCCAGAAAAUAGUGAACUGAGCCCAAGUUUUUGAUUUUGAAUUGAGCAUCCAAGAAGGACUUUAAAGAGUUCAUCUCAACAACAUCAUUACCAGCUAGCAAUAUGUCAUCAACAUAGACAUCCAAGACAAAGAGAGAAUCAGAUGAGACCUUGGUGAAUAAAGAAUAAUCAUUCAUUCUGGAAAUAUAGCCUCUGGAUUGCAAGGCUUCAGACAGUAGUGAGAACCAUUGUCUAGAAGCUUGACUAAGACCAUAGAGGGACUUCUUGAGUCUGCAAACCAGGGGAGGAGAAGAAGAGGGAGCAGACACAUCAAGACCAGGUGGGACCUUCAUAUAAACCUCUUCAUGGAGAUCCCCAUGAAGUAAGGCAUUGCUCACAUCAAGUUGAAAAACAAUCCAGCCCCACUUAGCAGCCAAAGUGAGUAAGCACUUGAUGGUGAUCAACUUGACAACAGGGGAAAAAGUUUCAGUAAAAUCAAUGCCCUCCUUUUGAGUGUCACCCCUAAUGACCAACCGGGCCUUAUAUAUCUCAAUAGAACCAUCAGCCAUUUGUUUGAUUUUGUAAACUCACUUACAAGGAAUAACUUUCUUGUGAGGGGGUAAAGAGACAAUAUCCCAAGCCUGGUUUGCCUCAAGGGCUUGGAAUUUCUUUAGCAUGGCCUCUUGCUAAGUAGGUUGUGAGGCAGCCUGCUGGUAGAACUGGGGCUCAUGCAUGUGUAUGUCAACAGAAGGUACCUUGGAAGAGGUAGGAAGAGAAUUAGGGGAAGAGACAAAAACAUACAUAGUCUUUGAGAUAGGAAGGUUGUUGGACUGUUCUGGUGGAUUUUCUCAAAAGUGGAGGAGAGGGGAUGACAGGAAGGGAGGCAGAAGGAGGGGAAGGAGAAGAAGCUAAUGGAACAGGAGAGUCUUGGGAUGUGGAAACGGCAGGAGUAGGAGAAGAUGAAGGGAAGGAGGGUGUAGGAUCUACAAAAUCUGAUAUAGAAAAAGAGGGAAAGGUAGAAGGAUGAUUAGAUUUAUAAAAAAAUAUAUGUUCAUGAAAAACUACAUCCCUAGAAAAGAAAAUGGAAUGAGUAGUGAGGUUAAGAAGUUUGUAACCCUUUUUGCCAAAGGGGUACCCCAAGAAUAUAGAAGGAAUAGCUCUUGCCUGGAAUUUAUCUCUGCCAAACUUAGGUGAAGUAGCAAAACAUAAACAUCCAAAGGAUUUCAGGUGAUCAUAAAGUGGAGGGAGGCCAUGGAGUUUCUCAUAAGGGGAAAGACUCUUCAGAAUAACAGAAGGAAGUCUAUUGAUGAGGUAAGUGGCAGUUAGUACACAGUCACCCCAAUAUUUAAGGGGAAGGUUAGACUGAAAAAGAAGAGCCCUGGAUACUUCCAAUAAGUGUUUGUGUUUCCUUUCAACCACCCCAUUUUGCUGAGGGGUGUGGGGAAUAGUGGUCUGAUGGAGAAUGCCUUGGCUUGAGAAGAACUUGGUGGCUUCAGAACUGCCACCAAGUUCAAAGGCAUUGUCAUACCUAAAAGUUUGAACAAAUGAUUUAAAAUAAACUUUGACCAUGACAGUAAAAGAUUUAAGGACAGAAAGAACAUUGCUCUUGCAAGAAAGAAGGUGAGUCCAUAUGGCUCUGGUAUAAUCAUCAACCAAAGUUAGAAAAUAUCUGAAUCCACUAUAAGUUCUAGUGUUAUAUGGACCCCAGAUGUCAAUAUGUACUAAUUGAGAAGGGGCAGAAGAGUGUAUAACACUUUCAGGAAAAGGUAAUCUCUGUUGUCUUGCUAGUGGACAAACAGGACACAUAAAAUUUUGCUUGGAAGAUACUUUAUCAGACAAGAAAGGAAUAAUUUUCAUUCUAUGAUAAGGCAUGUGUCCUAAUCUUUGAUGCCAAAACAAGUCCAAUUUAUUAAGGCAAUGUGACUGAUUACAAGUAUGAGUACCAUUAACUUGUGUGACAACAUGGUUGGACUUAUCAUAUACAAGCAAAACUGAAUUAGGUAAACUACUAGAAGAAGAAACAUUCAUAGAACCAGAUGAAACAGGAAAGAGGUCAGCAUCUGGAUGGAGAUAGUACAGCCUGCCUACAGCUUUACCAAUUUCCAGUGGCCUCUUCAGAGAAGGGCCCUGUAAAAAAUAAAUUAUUUUGGUAAAAAGUACUGAACAAUCUAGCUGACAGAUAGGCUGAUGAACUGAUAUUAAAUUGAAGUGAAAGGAUGGCACAAGAAGAACAUGAAGUAAAAUUAUAUCAUGUCUAAGAUACAAAGAUCCAGUUGAUAUAACUUUAGCUUUAUAUCCAUUAGGUAGGGUGACAAGAAAAGGAGUGACACCUAAUUGAGAGGAUGCACACACAUGAGGAGCCUCAGAAUCUACAAUAUACUUACUGAACAAACCUACAAAGUGUGCAAAAGCAGAUUGAUUCACAGUGGAGGCAUCAGAGGUGGAAGUAUUAGACAUCUGAGCUUGUUGGAAGAAGGUCAACAGGUGUUGAUACUGCUCCUUGGUGAACCCAUGGGCUGAAGAAUCAGCAUGUUGAGAAGUGGAAGUGACAGCAGUGGUGGGUGGACUUUCAGUCUGGACACAAGAAGCAUACUUCUUAUUCUUGGUGAAUUUGAAAUCAGUAGGGAACCCAUGAAGUCUGUAGCACUUGUCUACAGUGUGGCCAGGCUUCUUGCAGUACUUGCAAGAGACAUUUGGAGCAGUUUUCAUGGCCUCAAAAUUCACCUUUUGACUGAAGUUCCUAUUUGUAGUAGGAGUACCAGGGGAUAUCAAGAAAGAGGUGGCAUCACCAGAGAAGUUAGGAGUAGCAGAGUGAGCUUCUCUUUGACUCUCAUCUUGCUGUAGAAGACUAUAAGCUUUGUUGAUUGGUGGAAGAGGAUUCAUUAACAUAAUGGCACUCUUAACAGUUGUGUAAGACUCAUUGAGACCAUUGAGAAAUUGAAACAACUGUUGAUCCUCUAUGAACUUAGAUAAUGCACCACAUGAACAAGUAGGACCUACAUAUGAUGAAUUCAGCUUAUCCCACAAACUCUUCAUUUUGGUGAAGUAAGAAUCUAUAUCAGAAGAGCCUUGAGUAGUAGAGUUGAUCUCCCUCUAUAUCUGGAUGUAUAUAGACCCAUUUGACUGACCAAACCUUUCAUUUAUAUCUUUCCAGACUUCCUUAGCAGUUUUAAAACACAUCACACUAACAGCUAUUUCUCUAGAUACUGAAUUAGUUAUCCAGACUUUAACCAUAUCAUUGCACCUUUCCCAAUAUGGAUAAUAAGGAGAGUCAUAAGUGGGUUAGUUGACUAUUCCAUCUAAUAGACUGAGUUUGUUCUUUGCAGAGAGGGAAGUGAGCAUACUGUUACGCCAUAACACAAACCCACAACCACUUAAUGGUACAGAUACCAGUUGACUUCCGGGAUUAUCCGAGGGAUGAAUAUAGAAGGGAUUUGAAGGAUCCAAGGAAAACGAAGCAAAGCCGUUGGAAGGUGAAGGAGAGUUAACAUCAUCUAUUACAAUACCCAUUUUCAGCAGUGACUAAAGCUAACACUAAGAAACUGCAGUAGUAUGUUAAAGUAAUCAGAGAUAAAUCCAAAUCAAGUACAUGCAAUGAACAUCAACAACAAAGGAAUAACAAAGUUUGUGAUUAGGGAUGACCACGAUACCGUCAUUUUUCUGAAAACCCGAAGAAGUGAGGUCUUGUUCAGUCAUGAACCCUAGGUAGAGAAAUCCAGCAGAAACUACCGAGUAAGUUGAAAAUCAUUGAUGAUUAAAGCAAUAAAAGUUGAAUAUACACGGAGAUUGAAGGAAGCCCCAAAUUUCACGAACGUAUUCUGAACGUCGUCGAUCAGAUUCAAUCCCUGACGAUUUAAAAUAGGGUUACCAUCGGAAGAAAGCUUGUGACGAGAGGAAUCUAUAUUCCUGUUCAGAUACCAUGUUAGGUUGAAAGCUUGUUAGCUAUGGCAAAAAUGGUGGAAGAAAACCUUAGAAGGGUUGAGUGAAGAAGAGAGAUGCCAGUGAAUCAGUCAAAUUCAAU